rnacentral:rRNA from 1 species
AACGAACGCUGGCGGCAGGCCUAACACAUGCAAGUCGAACGCAUCCUUCGGGGUGAGUGGCGCACGGGUGAGUAACACGUGGGAAUGUACCCUUUGGUUCGGAAUAACGUUUGGAAACGAACGCUAAUACCGGAUGAGCCCUACGGGGGAAAGAUUUAUCGCCAAAGGAGCAGCCCGCGUCUGAUUAGCUAGUUGGUGGGGUAAAGGCCUACCAAGGCGACGAUCAGUAGCUGGUCUGAGAGGAUGAUCAGUCACACUGGAACUGAGACACGGUCCAGACUCCUACGGGAGGCAGCAGUGGGGAAUAUUGGACAAUGGGCGAAAGCCUGAUCCAGCCAUGCCGCGUGUGUGAAGAAGGUCUUCGGAUUGUAAAGCACUUUAAGUCGGGGGGAAGGGCUGUAGGCUAAUACCUUGCAGUUUUGACGUUACCGACAGAAUAAGCACCGGCUAACUUCGUGCCAGCCGCCGCAGUAAAAC